rnacentral:rRNA from 1 species
GCCGAUCUUGGCGGAUGACCGGCCACACUGGGACUGAGAUACUGCCCAGACUCCUACGGGAGGCUGCAGUCGAGAAUCUUCUGCAAUGGGCGCAAGCCUGACAGAGCGACGCCGCGUGGAGGAAGAAGGCCUUCGGGCUGUAAACUCCUGUCACGGGUUAUGAAGAGUGGUUUGAUUAAUACUUGAGCCUUUCUGACAAAGGCCCGAGAGGAAGCCACGGCUAACUCUGUGCCAGCAGCCGCGGUAAUUCAGAGGUGGCAAGCGUUGUUCGGAACCACUGGGCGUAAAGGGCGCGUAGGCGGUGACGUAAGUUCGUGGUGAAAUCCCCCGGCUCAACCGGGGAAUGGCUGCGGAUACUGCGUUGCUUGAGGAUGAGAGGGGAGAGUGGAACUUCUGGUGGAGCGGUGAAAUGCGUAGAUAUCAGAAGGAACGCCGGAGGCGAAAGCGACUCUCUGGAUCAUUCCUGACGCUGAGGCGCGAAAGCUAGGGGAGCAAAAGGGAUUAGAUACCCCUGUAGUCCUAGCCGUAAACGAUGGGCACUAAGUAGAGGGGUUUU